GCUGCGGCCGCCGCCUCACCCUCGGCCGCCUGCAAAGUCUGCAGGAGCUGGCGCGCUUCCUCCUCCUCUUCUUCGGUCGCCGCCGCCGCCACCGCCUCCCCCCCAGCCGCCGGCCCCGCGCUCGGCUCCGCAGGCAAGGCCGCGCUUUUUCCUCCCCCCGCGUGUGCCUCAGGCUGAGGGCCUCAGUUUCCCCAUCGGGACAACGGAGAAGGUAACGGGCCGUCCGGGAAGGCUAAGGGCGCGAAGCCACCUCCGCCCCGAGACUAAGCUUCUGCACGCCUCCGUCUCCAGAGUCCUCUGAAGGCCCCCCCAUGCCCCAUCUCGGCCCGCGCUCCGCCCCUCGGAAUUCCCGGCUCCGCAGGGGGGCGGGUCCGGCAGGGAGAAGGGGCGGGGGAAACGGGUUAGAAAGUUUGCAGCAACUUUUCUUGAGCUAGUCGCUGGGACAGAGUCGCGUGGCCCGCGCAAGCGCAGUAGUAGGAGGAUGGCCGCGCGCGCGCGCGCAGCCGGCCCAACCCCCUUCUUGCCGGCCUGCGGGUGGCACAGCUGGGCCACAGCUGGGCAAGGGGCGGUGCCUCCGGGCGGCUCGCUAGCCACCUCCUAUUGGCCGGAUGCCGAAGCCACGCCUUUCAGCGUCCCCACCCCCACCCCCAGCCCGGAUUCGUCUGCUUGGCGGCCCUGUAGCUUCUUGCCAGGCCAUUGGGCGCCUCCACUCGCCUUCCAAUUGGCCCACUGAGCAGCCUCGUUCCCGCAACGCCAAGAGAGCGGACACCGCGGAGUCCAGAGCUUUGGGCAGACGGGAGGGCCUUUUAUUCGCGAGGAUCGGGGGUGGGGUCCUAGGUGUGGAGAGACAAUAAAUACUGAGGAAUGUCGGGGUCUCAGUGCAUCCAAAACGUGGAUUAGGGUGCUGGGGUCCUGGAACUUGGCGGGUCGGAGGACAGGUCAAUAAAUACCCAAACUGCCGAGGCGGGCGGAGCCUGCUGUGGCCCCGAGAGCUACGUACGUGAGGAGGGCGCGCGAGUCCCCGAAAAAGCGGGGCUGGCGAAAGCAAAAGGUUCUCGAGAAGGCGGGCGGGGCUCGCACUAGACGUUCGCCGCGGGAAGAGAACAUUCCCAGGAUAGUAGGGCCUCAUGCACAGGGAUUUGUGGUCUGCGAGCCGAUAGGCGGGGGGCGCGUGGAGGGUGAAAAACUGAUGGCCGAGCCCUGGCCCUGCUGUCUCCUCUAGAUCGCAGUUUGCCCAUCCACGGCGGGGCCUCAGCCAGGCCGGAGUUAGUAGGUGGUUGGUCUGCGAUUCUCCCCAGCAGCAACUGCAGCAUUCCCGGUUACAAGCCUCCCUGGAGCCCCCUGCUCCUCCCUCCCCGGCCGCCAGGGGGCGGGCCCGGAUCACAGGGCUGGAGCUCGGGCGGAGACCCACGCUGGGAGGCGGUGUGAACGGGGAGGCGGUAGGAAUGGCUUCUGCGCCGUGCCCAGGUCACCCAACCCUCCAGCUUGGGGUCCUAGGGUUCAGGGGGCGAAGGCGGCUCCCGGGUGGCGCCAGACCGGGGCGAGAUGGUGGGCGCAGGCCACCAACCCAGUGCAGCCCAAGGCGGCGGCAGCAGCCAGAGCAACGGCGAACAGGAGCAGGGAACGCGCCUCCGAUAGGUCAGGCUUAGGGACCUGCGGACAAGAGGGCGUGAUCAGGUCUUGGCGGCACGGCCCCCCGAUUGGCUCCUGGGACUCGCCACGCCCACGCUUAUAGGUGGGUUCACACUCCUCUCUCGUCCCGCCCCGCCCCGCCCCGCCCCCGCGGGCAGUUGCGGUUGGUCCGCGGGCAAGCUUCAAGUCUCGUCCGAACUCGCCACUGGCUGCUUCCUAGCGGCCUGAGCUGAUUGGCUGCCCGCGCAUCCUCCCUCCCCGCGGCGGCCCCGCUCGACAGAGGCGCAGCUAAGCAGAGGAGGCUUGGGGUGCUUGGUGCGAGGAGGGGGCGCGGCGGCGGGCGGGCGUGAGCAGCCGGACGUACCCUGGCAGGGAGCAGCAGGUGGCGGCGGUGCAUGGGGCCCGGCCCCACCAGCGGGCAUUGGCCCAGAGCCACGGCCGGGGGGCCAUCUAGCUGGAGAGAGAAGGGACAGGUGACCCGAUCGGAGCCCAGCCCGGCCCGGCCGCCCUCGGCAGGAGGCGAGAGACAGCGAACGGAGUCGGGGAGGGAAUCUAGGGAGAUCCUAGAUGGGAUCUGGUUAGAGGCCCGGACCGAGGGCUGUCUGGUAGACGUGGGGCUGAGUGGAGGGUGUCUGCCGUCUGGAACCCCAAAGAGAUAGGGUGAUCCCUAAAUCCGGACGGGGAGACGGGGCCGGGGUUGCAGAGGGGCCAGCAGGCUUGAUACAGGGGAAAAAGAGGGGUCUUACAUGGGAAGGUGCAUCCGUGGCCCGGGGACUGGGGACCCCCGUGACAGCUGGAAGGAGAAGAGAGAGGCGUAGGGCGCGUGGAGGGACGGAGGAGGGCGGUGGCGCGGCGUGCCCCAGCCUGGGCCCCUCGCCCUCCCCCAGGUGUCCACACACGCCGCGGGCCCACCUCCCCCCGUCGCCCUCGGGAAAGGGGACGGAGGGGGGACUCGCCUGCGUCUCCCCCGGCCUGCAGCAGCUCCAUCCGCUCCUGCAGCUGCCGGACGCGCGCCUCCAGGUCUCGGUUCCGGGCCUCGGCCUCACGGAGCUGACUGCGGGGAGGGAAAGACCGUGAGCCCUUCCGGACCGGACCUGGGCGAGACGGGCUGCCGACGGUAGCGACCAGCCCCGGCGCCCCGACCCCGACCUGGCGAAGCUCUGGUUGGCUGUGCGGAUGGCCUCCAGCUCCCGGCUCAGGCUCUGCCGUGUAAGCACCUCCUCCUCCAGGGCCUCCUGGAGCUCCCGCAGCGUCACCUGGGCCUCCGCCGCCACCGCCGCCGCCGCCGCCGCCGCGGGAACGGCCUCCGGAGCUGCCGCUUCGGCCUGCGUGCGGGACCUGGCUUAGGGUUGCCCGCUCCUGCAGCGCCCAAGACUUGGGCACCGGUUCUAGGCUGGGAUCUUCCCUUGUCCUCUAGAUCUUUCCGGAAUCCCCACAGCUCCUGCAGUGACCCACGUCUCCUCCUUCCCUAACUAACCCCAGCCCCUGCCUUGGUCUCCGGCCUCCAGUCUGGGCCCUUCCCACCCACCUUCCACACAGGAACCAAAGGGCUAUUCCUACAACUCUUACCCAACUUGACCAUGGCCCUCCCCUCUUCUCCAGUCCCUGGGCGUCCUCAGGAGAAGGCCUGCCUCACCAAAAGGCCCUGUUUGGUUUGUCUCUGUCUCCCCCCCCCUCAUUCACCAGCCCCCUCUUCCGGGAACAAUUCACCCUAACUACCCUCCUUUCCGGUUCAAGAAUAAACCUUUGCCUUGAGCUUCUGUCUGCUGACCAAGGGCCGGCCCCCUCCUCCCACACACAAAGGCCUUUAUUUCUUCAGAGGGAUGAUUUCUGACUGAAGUAACUUUGUCUCUACUUUGCAUUCUCUCUCUCUAUCAAGCCAACUCCCAGAGGGCUUCAGGCCGGCAGCACACAAGACCCCGGAAGCCCCUGCCUUUCUCGGAUUCUCCCUGACCGACCUUCUCCUCCAGAGACUCACUGUUUCCUCUGGUGGCAGCACCGUGGGCUCCGGGCUGGGCGCCCGCACAGAUUCUGAGGUCCCGUGACUGGACUAGCAAUCUAAAAGUGGACGCCUGGAAGAUUCUGGAAGCCCAAGUCUGUGGCUCCGAGGUUUUGCAAGGGAAUCUAAAACUUCACGGUACUUACGGUCUGACCUCGUAAGGUCCUACAACUCCGGACUCCUAACAGUCCUUGGUCCCAAGACGCUACGCUUCUGAGCCUGAUCUUGCAACCCUACUGGGAGCCCCUGAACAGCGCUUACCUGAGGGCCAUGCAGGAGUAGGAGUAGCCCACAAAUGGCAGGUGGACCCCCAGGGGCAUGCCUUCCCGCAUGUCGGACAGCGUCUCCUGUACCAGAGAAAUCCAGAUGUGGAGUGACCUGUGCUCCUCAGGGCUGGUGCCUCACCCCUUCCCAGUCUUGGCUUAAAUGCCAGCUCCCCACCCCACCCCAGCUUGGGGCCUCGUCUAAAGUGGCCCCUCCCUCAUCUUCUUUCAUUGUAUCCGGCUGCUUCCCUCAGGGCGCUCUCCACAGUGUCAUUCUAUACUUCUCCCGACUGCACGUGGACGAGGGCGGGGACCCAGGGCUGGCCUGGUCCCUGUGGGUCCCCAGCAGUGCCCAGCACUGGGGUGGCUUGUACAACAGUUGAGAGAGAGAUGGCCUAGGAGAGAUUCCUCAA